rnacentral:rRNA from 1 species
CCUACGGGUGGCAGCAGUGAGGAAUAUUGGUCAAUGGGCGGGAGCCUGAACCAGCCAAGUCGCGUGAGGGAAGACGGUCCUACGGAUUGUAAACCUCUUUUGCCGGGGAGCAACGGGGUCCUUGCGAGGGCCCAAUGAGAGUACCCGGAGAAAAAGCAUCGGCUAACUCCGUGCCAGCAGCCGCGGUAAUACGGAGGAUGCGAGCGUUAUCCGGAUUUAUUGGGUUUAAAGGGUGCGCAGGCGGAAGAUCAAGUCAGCGGUAAAAUUGAGAGGCUCAACCUCUUCGAGCCGUUGAAACUGGUUUUCUUGAGUGAGCGAGAAGUAUGCGGAAUGCGUGGUGUAGCGGUGAAAUGCAUAGAUAUCACGCAGAACUCCGAUUGCGAAGGCAGCAUACCGGCGCUCAACUGACGCUCAUGCACGAAAGUGUGGGUAUCGAACAGGAUUAGAUACCCUUGUAGUC